rnacentral:lncRNA from 1 species
GUUGACUUUUACUGUAUGAGAUAUGUCCUUCUCUUUUGUGGCCUUUGAUGUAUGCAAAAGUACUGUGGGAACACAUUCUUUGGUCUGAAAUGAUGAUAAGUUGCUCACUUGUGCUCAUUUGGUUGUUUGGCAUUCAAUGAUUUAAUUGCUUAUGCAUGAGUUGCGACUUUGUUGGUGUCUGAUCUUUAUUGCUCACAAGAUCUUGUCGUUGUCUUGCAACAGCCCAGAUACGACUAAUUGUUGGAUUUUGCUCCUUGCUGGUUUGCCAUCUUUGUUGUCUUCAAGUAGGAAUUGGAUUAUUGAAGCUCUCUCAGAAGAAGAAAGAUCUUUUUUUUUCAUUUCGAAGUGCAGAAAUUUCUCUUCUUUUUUUUUG